UAACCUUACGUUGAAUUUUGUUGGAUACUGUACACGGUACAAAUUUUGAAAAUCUCCGGGUUCCCAAACGCCACCUUUGUUGAUUGUGAGAUCAGAUGAGGAAUGUCCUGAGACGUUGGCGCAUCAUGUGUUGGUGAAGGUUAGAGGAGAGGAAGAUCUCUGAGUAAGAAGAAACACCACAAUAGAAAAAUCAGUUGUCUCCACAAAACGCUCGGACUCGUAUAGCCGGUCCUUCUCUCUGCGUUCUCCCUUGGGCUCCCACGUCCGCCUAACAAGCCGCCAUUCUCCCCUCCGUCUGGAGAGAAAGAGAGAUUCACCUCUCUUCCCAGGGCCGCCAGACGCAAGAAGAACUUCUAACGGAGUUGUGGAUGAAAAGAGCUGACAGUAGGAUGUUGACUUGUAGCUGUUUAGAUGACACCGGAUGAAAAUGCCCUUAUUACUCUAAAGAAAGGUAGCAAGCUUAUCAAGUAUAGCCGGAAAGGAAAACCCAAGAUCCGUUCUUUCAGACUUUCUAGUGACGAAACAGCAUUAAUUUGGUAUUCUCACAAAAAGGAAAAGUUCCUCAGACUGUCCUCUGUCUCUAAAGUCAUUCCUGGGCAGAGAACUGCUGUUUUUAGGAGGUUUCUACGCCCUGAGAAGGACUAUCUAUCAUUUUCACUCAUAUACAAGAACGGCCAACGUUCCCUUGAUCUGGUUUGCAAGGAUCAAGUUGAAGUUGAAGUUUGGUUUUCAGCACUCGAGGCAUUAAUAAGUUCGUGCCAUAGAAAUUCUUCAGUUGAUGAACACAAGGAUAGAGUAUCAUUUUCUGAUGAUGUAUCAUAUUAUCGAGAUGGACAUCCGUAUGAUUCAACACUAGAUAUUGCUUCAAGUAUAUCACGUAGUUUUAACACAGCAGAUUAUUGCCGAGGCAGUUCUUUUAGUUUCAGAAGAUCAGAUGCUGGAUCUGAUCGUGCAAAUAUGAUAAGAACUAGUGGUGCAGAUAGUACUCGACUUAGUAUUUCCAGUGCCCCUAGCUCUUCCAGUCAGGGUUCUGGAACAGAUGACAUAGAAUCCCUUGGUGAUGUCUAUGUAUGGGGUGAAGUUUGGACUGAUGCGGCCCCAUCAGAUGGACACACAAGCUCGUCUUGCUCAAAAGUAGACGUUUUGAUCCCGAAGCCUUUAGAAUCAGAUGUCGUCUUAGAUGUUAAUCAGAUAGUAUGUGGUUCAAGGCAUGUUGCUCUUACUACCAGGCAAGGGGAGGUGUUUACAUGGGGCGAGGAACUUGGUGGGCGCCUUGGUCAUGGAACUGAUACAGAUAUUAGUCGUCCCAAGCUUGUUGAGUCACUAUCCGUGACCAUAGUUGAUUUUAUUUCAUGCGGAGAGUUCCAUACCUGUGCUAUAUCUGCUUCUGGUGAUCUGUUCAACUGGGGGGAUGGCUCUUACCGUGCUGGAUUGCUUGGAUACGACACUGGGGCUAGCCAUUGGCUUCCAAAGCGUGUCUCAGGGCCCUUGGAGGGGCUUCAGGUACUGUCUGUUGCAUGUGGCUCGUGGCAUUCAGCUCUGAUCACAUCAACUGGAAGACUUUACACAUUUGGUGACGGAAAAUUCGGUGCUCUUGGGCAUGGAAACCGUGAAAGCGCUGCGUACCCAAAAGAAGUGGAAGCCUUGAAUGGAUUUAGAACUGUCAAAGUUGCAUGCGGAGUCUGGCAUUCUGCAGCAAUUGUGGAGGCCUCUGUUCAGACAGGCAUGAAUGUGGUGUCUAAGAAGCUGUAUACGUGGGGUGAUGGAGAUAAGAAUCGUUUAGGCCAAGGGGACAAAGAAGCUAGGCUGAUUCCUACCUGUCUUCAAGCUCUUCUUGAGCACAAUUUUCAUCAGCUGGGAUGUGGACAGAACAUGACUGUUGCCCUUGCUACAUCCGGUCAUGUGUAUACCAUGGGUAGUUCUGACAAUGGUCAGCUCGGAAAUCCAAAAUCUGAUGGUAAACAUCCUUGCCUUGUCAAAGACAAACUAGCUAACGAGUUGGUUGAGGAGAUCUCAUGUGGAGCCGCCCAUGUUGCAGUUCUAACGUCAAGAAGCGAAGUAUACACGUGGGGACUGGGUGCCAAUGGAAGACUUGGUCAUGGUGACCUCAACGACAAGAAGACACCAACUAUUGUCGAAGCACUUAAAGAUCGGCAUGUCAAAAGUAUAUCAUGCGGCUCAAACUUCACAACAUGUAUCUGCAUACAUAGGUGGGUGUCAGGUGCAGAUCAGUCUGUUUGCACAGGUUGUAGGCAGGCAUUUGGUUUCACGAGGAAGAGACAUAAUUGCUACAACUGUGGGCUAGUACACUGCCAUGCUUGCAGUUCAAGAAAAGUGCUCAAGGCUGCUCUGGCACCAACUCCUGGCAAGCCGCAUCGUGUAUGUGAUUCAUGUUUCCUGAAACUGAAGAAUGCAGACACCAGCAGCAGCAAUGCGAACAGAAGAAAUGCCGCUACUCGUCGCUCUACGGACAGCAGAGAAAAACCAGAAAUAAGGCCUCCCAGGCUUGUGGCAACACCGUCAGCAGAGCCAGGCAAGUACAUGGAGGUAAAAGCAUCUAAGAGCGAUAUGAAACCUGCAGAUUCGAUCAUGAAGGCAUCACAAGCUUCGGCUCUACUGCAGUUCAAAGAUCUUGGUUUUGGUGCCCAAUUUGGUGGGCUUCAGCCUAUGGGAAUGCCACCGGCAUUAGCUAUGUCACCUGCGAUACCGGCAUUUUCUUUGGCACCUCCAUCUCCAUAUACAAAGAAAAUGAAAUCACCUCCUACUUCUGCUAUCCCCCAGAGCUCUAAAGUCGAUGUUGAUCACUUGCAGAAGUCAAAUGACUUGCUGAAUCAGGAAGUUCUGAAAUUGCAAUCUCAGGUUGAGGAUUUGAAACAAAAGUGCGAAGCACAGCACGAGCAGCUUCAGAAAUCAGAUAAAAAAGCUAAGUCAGUUGCCUCUAUGGCCACUGAAGAAUCCUCGAAACGUAAUGCUGCCGUGGAGUUUGUUAAAUUUCUUGAUAAUGAGCUCAAGGGUAUUGCAGAUAAACUUCCUGUUGACGUUGCCGACAGCUUGAAAGCUUUGCAAAUGCGAACACAGUCACUACUGAGGGAACAAUCAGGUCACCCCUUAGAGCUCGUGAAUCCAAUGGAACGUGAUCAUCUUCACCUGUCCAGUGGUGGAAGUGGAAGAUAUGAUUUGGUCACUCAUAAGUCAGGAGGUGUAGGUUACCUGACAAUGUCUCAAGAUGGCAGUUCUGCCAGUGGCUCAGCCAUGUCCAUCACGAGUGAAUCCCCAUCCCAUCGUUUCAUGGAAAACAGUUCAAAGGCCCAUGGUGAUUUUGCCCCGAAGCAGGGUACCCAUGGAGAGGUCCAGUUAAUUGAGCAGUUUGAACCUGGCGUAUAUGUGACACUUAUCCAACUAAAGGACGGUACCAAAGUAUUCAAGCGGGUCCGAUUCAGCAAGAGGAGAUUCGCAGAGAAUCAGGCUGAAGAAUGGUGGAGGGAAAACCAAGAGCGGGUCUUCAAGAAAUACAGCCACCCAACUCAUGCACCACAUGGAAACACAACUUCUCACGAGGAAGAGCAUCAUUCAUGAUCUCCAAAUCAGGUCCACACAGGUCGUCAUGUAGGAGGUUUAUCACGCGAAAUAGGACAUGGCGAAGAACAAUAACGAUCAAACAGGAGAAGUGGACCGGAGACGACGAUGAAGCAAGGAGGUGAGACGAGGAACCAUAGCUGGACGACGACGAUGUGGUAUGCUGGUCGUGGUCACAAUGGAGAUCUAGACGACAAGUUGGAGUCACGGUAGUGCUGCGGGUUGAGGUUGUCACCUUCCAGGACGGUGGUCUGAGGUCGCGAUAGUGGAUGGCAAGUCGUGGUUGUUGCAGCAAUCGGGUCGAGGCCAUGCCAACCUCCAAGACGGUGGUUCGAGAUCGCGGCUCUAGACAACGUCGGGGUCACAACAACGCUAAGGGUCGAGGUCACAUCGUCCUCCUGGCCAGUGGUCCGAGGUUACGGUGGAGCUUUGUCGCAGUAGGUACUCGAGGUCGUGGGCUCAUAGUGGCUUUGAUGAAUUCGCUGAUGCGCUGUUGGGGGAGGAAAAGACAGGCGGAUGUAGAUGGAGGAAAUGAGCGAAAAAUUGUUUGUGCUAUGUUUUUUGUUGUAGAAAUGGCGCACAAGUGUAUUUCGGGAGUAGCUCUAGGUUCCUAAACGUAGGGAGAAAAUUGGGUUGGGUAG